UUAAAUGUAGAGGCUAUCAUUAGAGGAGGAAUAAAACGGUUCACUGAUAUGGUGGGUCAGUUGUGGUGCUCACUAGCAGACUAUCACAUUAGAGCUGGUAGAUUUGAGAGAGGUAGGGACAUAUACAAUGAGGGGAUACACUCUGUCAUCACAGUCCGUGAUUUCACACAAAUAUUUGAUGCUUAUUCACAAUAUGAGGAAACAAUGAUAC